AGUGGUCUGCCUUCUCAGUGAGAAAACUAAACUAUAGCCAAGAGCGUUGCUUCACACCAUGGAUGCAGCUGCGUGGAAGGAAUAGCAUUAACCUGGCUUGCUCACUCCUCUCAGUUCUAUGCUCUGGGUCAUCUUGGAAUGCGUCAUUCUGGGAGUACCAGCACACACAGGAGGAGGACCAACAUUUUAGGAUUGCAGUAAAUCAUGUUGUUUUCUCCAGAAUCUGGAACAACAUGUUGAGACUGAAGAGUCAUGAGAAUUGCCCACAGCUUAUCCCAGUCUCAGCCCAGAAGGCCAGCCAUAUCCUGGGUUGCAUCAAGAGAAAUGUGACCAGCAGCUCAAGGGAGCAAAGAACACAACUGUCAAAUCUAUGAGCUGACAGCUUCUCCAGGAUAAUGCUAUGGGAGACAGAGUCAAAGGCUUUGCUGAAGACUGGGCAGGCUACAUCAACAGCCUUUCCCUCAUUCACCCAGUGGAUCACCCAGUCAUAGAAGGAGAUUAUGUUGCUUAGGCAGCACCUGACUUUCAUGAAACCACGAUGGCUGGGCCUAAUCCCCCAGCUGUCCUGCACAUGCUGGGAUGUGGGAAAUGGGAACAUGAUCUCAGCUUCUUGUACAGAUCCUCAGAUUUCCUAAGUCUUUUCUUUACCCACAUCUUAAGAAAUUUUUGGAAUAAAAUUAAAAUGCAUUUUAAUUAAUUCAAUAUUCCACCACUUUUAGUUCAAUUAAUUUGUAAGGUAAAUAUCUAAACUUUUACUUUUCUACACACUCCCAUCACAAAGAUUCCAGUCUCUCAGUCUCUCCAUCAACCAGGAUGAUCCAAACUGAUUUCUUGUUAUCACUUCUGCACAAGUUGUAACAGCGUUGGUAUUAUCAUGUUUAUAAGUUUCUGUAGAAAUGAUUGGACUGAAAACUGAUACAGGAUAUGAAUGUUGACUUAUGAUAACUUUGUGAAAUAUGAGAUUAAUUGAAGGAGUAAUUUCACUGUACUCUAGUGCCUGGGUUUGCAGUUUGCUUGUGAAGUAGAGAAGAAAAAUGCUCCUCCUUUUUCAGUGCAAUGUUUUCAGUGUCAGUCAAGUGGGUAAUUUCACCAGCAGGAAGGCAUUUUUAUGAAACACUGAGACUUCAGUCAAAACUGUAAGGGUGAAUUUUCUGUAGUUUGAUUACACAGUCCUUAUCACAACAUGGUGGGACAUCAGCAUGAAAUGCCUAAAACAGUGAAGAAACACAGGAAAGUUUGCAACUACAGAAAAACUCUAAAUAUCUUUUCCUUUUUUUCUGUUUGGUUAAAACACAGUGUGGUCACAUGAUCCUUAAGUAAAUACAAAAUGCUUUGAAACUGAUGUAUCUGAUAUCUGAAGGAAAAAGAAUAUGAAAUUUGGAGCAAGACUCAUCAUAAGAUAUUACUUCUGUUCUAAAGGCUAUGUAAUUUGUCACAUUACUAUUUGUUCUGAAUUCAUUUUGCAAUAAAAUACAUCCUCAAUACAGCUAUAAAUAAAAAUAUUAAUAAUAUUUUCAAUAUUACAGGAUUUUUUUUUUUUUUGGAUGAAGAAAGGACUACUAUUAGUGGCAUAAUUUUUCCCCCAGCCAUUGUUUUGUACACCAACCUGUGUUUUCCUGUGCCCUCAUUAUUUGAGACUUGCUGCUUUAUGUUGAAGAAUUAUCAACUGUUUAUUUUGGAGCUCUACUGCCUUUCUCUGUGUAGUUGGAGAAAAAGAAAAGAAAAUCAGUAAACUUUGACCUUUUCUUUCUUAAAUAAAAUAAUGUGAAAUAUGCUGCCUUACCUUUGGUACUGUUUUCAUUUAUGUUAUACUAUUUCAUUUACAGCAAGGCAAACACUAAUGAAGUAUAUUAUUAGUUUCUGAUUAACUUUCUGCAUAUGCUAUUGGAAGAAUACAGUGUUGUCUUUAUAUGAAGAUUGAAUCUUUAGCUUGUAUUUUUUCAGUAUUAAUCACAGAACUUGUUUGCAAAUAUAUAAAUUAUGUGCAAGAAAAAAUGCUUCCUGG
ensembl:lncRNA